CAACUUUCAACAACGGAUCUCUUGGCUCUUGCAUCGAUGAAGAACGCAGCGAAAUGCGAUAAGUAAUGUGAAUUGCAGAAUCCAGUGAAUCAUCGAAUCUUUGAACGCACCUUGCGCCCUUUGGUAUUCCGAGGGCAUGCCUGUUUGAGAGUC
rnacentral:rRNA from 1 species